rnacentral:misc_RNA from 1 species
GAUGAAGAACGUAGCGAAAUGCGAUAAGUAAUGUGAAUUGCAGAAUUCAGUGAAUCAUCGAAUCUUUGAACGCACAUUGCGCCCUCUGGUAUUCCGGGGGGCAUGCCUGUUCGAGCGUCAUUAUAACCACUCAAGCUCUCGCUUGGUAUUGGAGUUCGCGAUCUCGCGGCUCCUAAAAUCAGUGGCGGUGCCUGUCGGCUCUACGCGUAGUAAUACUCCUCGCGAUUGAGUCCGGUAGGUUUACUUGCCAGCAACCCCCAAUUUUUACAGGUUGACCUCGGAUCAGGUAGGGAUACCCGCUGAACUUAAGCAUAUCAAUAGCGGAGGA